AGAACGACGAUAACAACUAUUGCUAUUUUUUCGCUUUCUGGUGUCCGUCUCCUCUAUUGCACCUCGUCGUUGGAUCGGGACUCCCAUGGGCGGGCAGUGAUGGCACAACCGGCGGGCCGGCCGAUGGUGGCAGAUGCCGCGGCGAGACGGGCGGAAUGCGCAGCGGCAGCAGCAGCCGGGAUUCGGGCAGACGGUGGCGGGGAUCUUGCUGAUGGCGCUGCUCUCGUACUUCGCCAUGAAGUUCUUUGGCCCCAAGAGGCCCGCGGAGCCGUUCCAGCUCAUCUCCAAUCUCUUCCACAAGGGCGACUCGUUGGACAUGUGGAUUUAUCACUCUGAGAACGAGAAGCUUAAGGAUUUUGGUGAUGAGUAUGCCCUUGUUUGGCAUGAGUCUAAUAUACCUUGUUUGGCAUGAUUUAGGCCUUGUACGAUAAGCGAUCUAUUAUAUUUUGCUGAUAGAAUUCUUUUCAUUAUAUGGUUUUGGUGCAUUCUUUUGUUCUUAUUAUCUUGCUAGUCCCCUAGGCAUAUUUUAGCCAUUGAAAAAACAUGAUUGCCUGUGUACCUUCUCUCUUCACAGAUUUUGGUGUUUUCACACAACUUCUUUAUGUUGUUGUUACAGUUGAAGAAUGAUAAUCAUGUUGAAGCCAAGGAUAAGGGCCCUGUAGAUUGUGUUUCAUAUUGGAAACCAAAUAUCACAAUGAACUUUGUUGAUAAUUUUACAAGGUAACAUUCCCUCCAAAGAAAAAGAAAAAAAAGGAGUUGACCGACAAGACUUUGCUUCUGGAUACUUGUUAACAAUAUGUACAAGUAUGACAGCUGUAGACUCUUUAUUUUAAAUUAAGCCAUAAAAGAUUGUGACAGUUUCCUUUUUUUGCAUGCUAAAGUUGUCUGGCUGCUGUCUGAUUCUUGAUGCCCCUGAUCUGUAUAUAUAUUUUGGAAGUCCUUUUUGUAUUAUAAAUCAAAGAUCAAGUUUAUUUGCUGCCAUUAUUUGACCUCUGACCUUUUGUUUGUCUUGAUGCUGUCUUUAACAUCCCUUAAUUAUCAUACUUUUAUACCAAAAAUUUGUGGUGUUAACAUGCCCUUUUGUCAGAUUCUGUAGAAAAUUGGAACGAGCCUAAAACCUUUCUUGCUUGAGGAUGGCUCAUAUAUAUAUUGGUUGAUGUGUGAGUUAAGUCAAGAUAGACUGUGGUGUUUGUUGGAACUACUAGCUAUAUGUGAGAAUAAUUGCUGGAAAAUGAUGAUUUCUUGUAGAACGACAAGAAUCAAUGAAUCAAGAGGUGAUACUUGGGGGAGUGGGGUGGAUCUCAGGUAAAAGGUGGUCCACCUUUACCUUUCUUCUUUCAAGGUGAGACACCAAACCUAGCAACAUAGGCCACAAGGCCCGCAAGGCUGUCCUAUACCACAAUUAGGCUACAAGAGACAUUCAAAUCAAUUUGAACCCACAAACCUACCAAAGUGAAUCAUCCAUCAUGAGUUGAGAAAAUGCAUACUUUUCAUAGGAUGGGAUUUAACUCCAAACUUUCCACUAGGGAGAGAGAUGCUAAUCAUUGAAGGCAAUGGAUGUGGCAUUCCUGCUACCUUCCUAUAAGACUGUAUAUGGGUAGUGUAGUAAGAAUGAAUAUCUAAUGAGGUCUUGAUGUGAAGAACUAUUCAUUGGAAGAUGCCAAAGAAAUAGGUCAUCUGGAAUACUUAAUCUUAUAAAAAAUAUGUACAAAUUGGUAUGUUUAGGAUGUCAAAUCAAGGAUAAGUAUGUAGGUUGUGCUGGGUGGGAAGGGACAAACAUGGUGCACUGGUUAUGGCAUGUCAUGUGUCGAUGUGACUGUCCCUACCAUGUCUACCUACUGUCACUGCCCUGUACCACCACAAUCAUGCUGGCUGAAGGUGAUACAUCUGUGAAUGUUUGCUAAUUGGAGAAUUAUUUUAUGCAAGUUCAUAAGCUGCAAUUCAAUGGGAAAUAUCUUAGACAAACAAUGUCUCUAAGCAUGAAGGGAGUUCCUGUGUUUGAAGGUGAACAUAGAAUACUUUUUUAUGUGUUAUGGUGUGGCUGCUCCAUCCCAAAUUUGUCCACUUCGAGUUUGAUAAUAAAUAAAUGGUCAACUUGAUCGACAUUGCAUCAUUAUUGAAGAUAUGCUAUAUGAUGUCAUUUGAAAAUAUUGGGUUCUUUAUGUGUAUGCAACAUAGAUGUAACAAACAUUUAACGUAGUGCAAGUGAUGGUGAGUAGAGUUUAGAUGUCAUCGUUGUCAUUUUUCAGCUGGCAUGCAUUUAUUGCUAGAACUUGCAUACUAUUAAAAUUAAUUUGUCAAUUAAAAUUCAUUCUUACUGAGAAUUUGUGCAUUUAAGGCUUGUUUAGUGCUAUUUGUGUGCCGAAGCUAAGUUAUUUAUACUUGCUGAUAAAGCUUCACGUUGUGACAGUAUAUGCUUGACAAUUGAUGAUAGUCAUUUGCUGUUUUGUUGUCUUCUCUCUUCUGUAAUAUACAUUGGUUCUGUUUUUCAUGCCUUACUGCCAUAAGUCUGCUGUUUGUUACUGCAUUCAGAGUAUAAUGCUUCAAGCAUCAAGUAUGAUAUUUGAUCAAUUGAACAUAAGCAUUCAUUUUGGUCCUUAUUGCUGACUUGUAGCAUAAGUUUAGAUGACGUUGCACUGUCUUGAGAUGUUGGGAGAGAUUUAAGAUGGCCAUCAUUUAUCUUACCUUUGCUGGUUCUAGCUUUAGUUCUGAACUCCUGGAGUUUGGGACAUCAGUAUGUGAUUUGCACCAGUAAUGAGGUGUGGCAAGCUUGAUUCUGGAUGAAAAGGUUUCAUCUCUCUGCGGUGGGAGGAAAAAGAUACGACAUGCUUACAGCAGUAUGCCAUUGCUUUUGAUGAGAAAGCGCUGCACCAGUUCAGUUGUCACUGAACAGUCAGCACUGCCUGUCAAUGAAUGUAGCUACUGCAGAUGCCAUCACUGCAAGUCCAACCUCUGGUGGCUGGGAGCUACUUCUUUAUGAUAUGAACUUGAUCUGCUGCAGGGCACAGUAUUCCACUGCUGGAUAAAAAUUGCUCUCUGAGUUUCACAUUUCUAUAAACUUGCCUCAGUUAUUUAGCAUUGGAGCUUUAGCUUCUAUCUUCACUUGUGGCAGUGACCAACAUAUCAGGAUAAAUGGAUCCAAGUGACUGACAUGUGGUGUGCUUUUUCUUUCACUUGCCACCUCAUGAUAUACAUAUAUAUAUGUGAAUAACACAGUGGAACUGAGAUAUCAAUGCGCUUGUUGGUGAAGUUUUA